rnacentral:lncRNA from 1 species
GAACAAAACAGUUACAUUAUUGAAUAAACAUUAAACCAGACUGCGAUGUGCGUCACAGGCAACCCACUAAUGAGUUUAUGAAGACAGGAAGAACUAUCAUUUUUUGUAUUAGCCGGUCUGGUACAACGCAUUCUAUUUCCUCAAGCAUAAGGAAUAAAACUGUUCUUUUGAAAUGAAGAAGAGAACCACCUAGGAGACUAUCACCCUGACCUGAGGACUUCACUAGGGAUUCAGGAAAGAAGACACAGAAAGAAAGCAAUCCUCAAGGAUCAGAAUGGCCAGCAGGAGGCCAUAUGCACCUAAACCAGAUGGAAGAAAAUGGCCCGGGGUGACCAGCUGGCUCUCUUUAUCAAGCUCAGACUCCUCAAGUCCCCGCUUGGAAGAACAGUCACAGAUUCCAUAUACAGGAAUUCAAGAUCUCCAAGCAGCAGGGAGGGGGUUCAGAAUACAUAUUCAAGUUGUUGCAGCUCAAAACACUGAUGUAGACAUGGCUGGCACCAACGUGGCUCUAGGACAUACUCCAGCUGCACUAGGGAGGUGAAGCAGGAAUUCACUGAGCCCCAAGGAAUGGGAAACUGCUUCUUUUAGUUCUCCCAGAACUCUCCACAUUGAUCCCACUCUGGCUACCAGCACUAGCUGGACAGUAAUGACUCUCAGAGGUGAACACAAUAUGCCUCAACAUGCCUUUCUGGAAGUUCACAUAGGAACUGCACAGCACCUGAAUUCCAGUUCUGCAAAGCUCUUCUCUGAAUACUGGAGGUACCAGCAUGAUCCUGGCACUGCCCCUGCCUCCGCUGUCUGUCUAAUUGUAGCUCUCUGGGGCCACUCUUGUGAGUUUCUAAGUUCUGAGGACCUUAAUCUUUUCCACUGUUUCCCAGCCCUAGACAGGUAGCUGCUACCUGAUGUUGUCAUCCCGUG